rnacentral:lncRNA from 1 species
AAAUUUCUCAUACACCUGGCGGGUCCGGCGAUCUUCGUCUACGUCAUCAACAAUGGCAUGUCGAUGCUCACUCGUAUCUUCGCUGGUCAUAUGGGAAGUAUGCAACUCGCCGCCGCCUCUCUCGGAAACAGCGGUUUCAACAUGUUCACCUUUGGUCUCAUGGUAAGUUUUUUUUUUGUUUCAACAGAUUAAACCAGUUCCGGUUUAGAUCAGAUUCAAAAUCUGGUCAAUUAACCGGUUUGUCUUCUUGAUUCUUAAAGAAUAUUUCCCUUAACGUUUCUUGUUUCUUGUUUUUUCCGGUGAGACAGCUUGGAAUGGGAAGUGCAGUAGAGACAUUAUGUGGGCAAGCACACGGAGCUCACAGAUACGAGAUGCUCGGAGUCUACUUACAGAGAUCCACCGUUGUUCUUUUCCUCACCGGACUUCCCAUGACGUUACUCUUCAUCUUCUCCAAACCUCUGCUCACUUCUCUCGACGAGCCUGCUGACGUGGCAUCAGUGUCUUCAGUCUUCGUCUACGGUAUGAUCCCGAUGAUCUUCGCUUACGCCGUGAACUUCCCCAUCCAGAAAUUCCUCCAAUCACAGAGCAUCGUCACGCCGAGCGCUUACAUCUCAGC